GACAACGUGGCCGAGCGGUUAAGGCGAUUGACUAGAAUAUUCAUUCUAAGAUUCUAUAUAUUGACAAGUCUAUCAUCAAUUGGGAUUUUCCCGCGUAGGUUCAAAUCCUGCCGUUGUCG
rfam:Puccinia sorghi strain RO10H11247 Scaffold_1073, whole genome shotgun sequence.